rnacentral:lncRNA from 1 species
ACGGGGUUUGAAUUUGUAUAAAAAUUCAGUUUAAACAAGAUAUAGCAGUGAUAUUUUGUAAAAGAGGUUUUUCAAACCACGUGCUCAAUAGUAAUUGAGGCCUUUGAUACUUCCAUUUUAUUAAAUGUUUGGCUUGAUUGCUUUUAUUUUCGAGAUGUGAAGCAUCUUCGAGAAGAUAAUAUAUAAAGCAGUGUCGAACUCCUC